rnacentral:tRNA from 1 species
AGGAACUUAGGAUAAACACAAACCAAGAGCCUUCAAAGCUCAAAAUACGGGCGCAACCCCCGUAGUCCCUG